GCCGGUGUAGCUCAGGGGUAGAGCAACUGAUUCGUAAUCAGUAGGCCGUCGGUUCAAUUCCGACCAUCGGCU
rnacentral:tRNA from 1 species